GAGUUUGAUCGUGGCUCAGGAUGAACGCUGGCGGCGUGCUUAACACAUGCAAGUCGAGCGAAGCACUCUGUCCGGAUUCUUUCGGGAUGACGGACUUAGUGACUGAGCGGCGGACGGGUGAGUAACGCGUGGGUAACCUGCCUCAUACAGGGGGAUAACAGUUAGAAAUGACUGCUAAUACCGCAUAAGACCACAGUACCGCAUGGUACAGGGGUAAAAACUCCGGUGGUAUGAGAUGGACCCCGCGU
rnacentral:rRNA from 1 species